rnacentral:rRNA from 1 species
CAAAUAUUUAUAGGAUUAAGAUGGGCAUGCGUGUCAUUAGCUAGUUGGCGGGGUAACGGCCCACCAAGGCGACGAUGACUAGGGGAUCUGAGAGGAUGACCCCCCACACUGGUACUGAGACACGGACCAGACUCCUACGGGAGGCAGCAGUAAGGAAUAUUGGUCAAUGGAGGCAACUCUGAACCAGCCAUGCCGCGUGCAGGAAGACAGCCCUCUGGGUCGUAAACUGCUUUUAUUCGGGAAUAAACCACAUUACGUGUAAUGUGCUGAAUGUACCGAAGGAAUAAGGAUCGGCUAACUCCGUGCCAGCAGCCGCGGUAAUACGGAGGAUCCAAGCGUUAUCCGGAUUUAUUGGGUUUAAAGGGUGCGUAGGCGGCUUAUUAAGUCAGGGGUGAAAGACGGUGGCUCAACCAUCGCAGUGCCUUUGAUACUGAUGAGCUUGAAUACACUAGAGGUAGGCGGAAUGUGACAAGUAGCGGUGAAAUGCAUAGAUAUGUCACAGAACACCGAUUGCGAAGGCAGCUUACUAUGGUGUGAUUGACGCUGAGGCACGAAAGCGUGGGGAUCAAACAGGAUUAGAUACCCUGGUAGUCCACGCCCUAAACGAUGAAUACUCGCUGUUAGCGAUAUACAGUUAGCGGCUAAGCGAAAGCGUUAAGUAUUCCACCUGGGGAGUACGCCCGCAAGGGUGAAACUCAAAGGAAUUGACGGGGGCCCGCACAAGCGGAGGAGCAUGUGGUUUAAUUCGAUGAUACGCGAGGAACCUUACCCGGGCUUGAAAGUUAGUGAAUCAUUUAGAGAUAGAUGAGUCCGCAAGGACACGAAACUAGGUGCUGCAUGGCUGUCGUCAGCUCGUGCCGUGAGGUGUAGGGUUAAGUCCCGCAACGAGCGCAACCCCUAUGUUUAGUUGCCAGCACGUUAUGGUGGGGACUCUAAACAGACUGCCUGUGCAAACAGAGAGGAAGGAGGGGACGACGUCAAGUCAUCAUGGCCCUUACGUCCGGGGCUACACACGUGCUACAAUGGAUGGUACAGAGGGCAGCAAGCUGGCAACAGCAAGCGAAUCUCAAAAAGCCAUUCACAGUUCGGAUAGAGGUCUGCAACUCGACCUCUUGAAGUUGGAUUCGCUAGUAAUCGCGUAUCAGCAAUGACGCGGUGAAUACGUUCCCGGGCCUUGUACACACCGCCCGUCAAGCCAUGGAAGUUGGGGGUACCUAAAGUAUGUAACCGCAAGGAGCGUCCUAGGGUAAAACCGAUAACUGGGGCUAAGUCGUAACAAGGUA